rnacentral:rRNA from 1 species
AUGUCGGACCCUUCAGCCUUCACCGUCCUCCUGCCCGUGCCUUUCCUUUCGGCCCUGUUUUUGAUGUGCGAGAACGUGAGGACGACGACCGGCGCCAAGUCCUGCUCGAGCACCCGCCUGCGUUGCGGCAUCGGUGCACCGUGUCGCUGCUCGUUGCCUGCCAAGACCGUCUCCGUGGAAUUCCAUCAAGUACACCACCGACAAGACCACACGGAUGCCCGAACGAAACGCCAAGACCUACGAGAACGACUUCGUGGACCGACGAGUACCACGACGACCGUUGUUCGCCAAGUACACCUUCGGAUUCGUCAAGUUCAACUACCCCGCAAGACCCGGAGCGCCAAGUACCUCUAUCGCCUUCUUCGGAAUCCUAAGAACGCCAAGUACUUCAUCACCCGGCGCCUAAAACGACUCCCGACGCCGAAGACCCAUGAACAAAAACCGUCAAGUUUGACUACCGUCGACCUCCGAAGAACAGGGUUGUGCCGAGUAUCCCUUCGUUUUGUCAAGACCAUCAAGUCCCUCGACGACAAGUGCACGACUACGCGGAUUGUACCAAGUACCCCUUCAUUUCGACGAGACCAGCAAGUCUGA